rnacentral:tRNA from 1 species
GCCGCGGUGGUCUAGUGGCUAGGGCACUCGGCUGCUGACCCGGAGGUCGCGGGUUCGAAUCCCGGCUGUGGCG